UACGUAGGGUGCAAGCGUUGUCCGGAAUUAUUGGGCGUAAAGAGCUCGUAGGCGGUUUGUCGCGUCUGCUGUGAAAACUCGGGGCUUAACUCCGGGCCUGCAGUGGGUACGGGCAGACUAGAGUGCGGUAGGGGAGACUGGAAUCCUGGUGUAGCGGUGAAAAUGCGCAGAUAUCAGGAGGAACACCGGUGGCGAAGGCGGGUCUCUGGGCCGUAACUGACGCUGAGGAGCGAAAGCGUGGGGAGCGAACAGG
rnacentral:rRNA from 1 species